rnacentral:rRNA from 1 species
GAUGAACGCUGGCGGCGUGCCUAAUACAUGCAAGUCGAACGCAUAGCGAAAGGUGCUUGCACCUUUCAAGUGAGUGGCGAACGGGUGAGUAACACGUGGACAACCUGCCUCAAGGCUGGGGAUAACAUUUGGAAACAGAUGCUAAUACCGAAUAAAACUUAGUGUCGCAUGACACAAAGUUAAAAGGCGCUUCUGCGUCACCUAGAGAUGGAUCCGCGGUGCAUUAGUUAGUUGGUGGGGUAAAGGCCUACCAAGACAAUGAUGCAUAGCCGAGUUGAGAGACUGAUCGGCAACAUUGGGAAUGAGACACGGCCCAAACGCCUACGGGAGGCUGCAGUAGGGAAUCUUCCACAGUGGGCGAAAGCCUGAUGGAGCAACGCCGCGUGUGUGAUGAAGGCUUUCGGGUCGUAAAGCACUGUUGUAUGGGAAGAACGGCUAGAAUAGGAAAUGAUUUUAGUUUGACGGUACCAUACCAGAAAGGGACGGCUAAAUACGUG